rnacentral:rRNA from 1 species
GACGAACGCUGGCGGCGUGCUUAACACAUGCAAGUCGAACGGAAAGGCCCGGCUUUUGGGGGGUGCUCGAGUGGCGAACGGGGGAGUAACACGUGAGUAACCUGUCCUUGACUUAGGGAUAACCUCAGGAAACUGGGGCUAAUCCCGGAUAGGAGCUCUUGCUGCAGGGUGGGGGUUGGUAAGUUUCGGCUGUUGGGGAUGGACUCGCGGCUUAUCAGCUUGUUGGUGGGGUAGUGGCUUACCAAGGCUUUGCCGCGUAGCUUGCCUGGGAGGGGGACCGGCCCCCUUGGGCCUGGGCUACGACCCAGCCCCCUACGGGAGGCAACGGAGGAGUGUAUUGCACAAUGGGCGGAAGCCUGAUGCGGCACCGCCGCGUCCGGGAUGACGGCCUUCGCGUUGUGAACCACUUUCGCCUGUGACGAAGCGUGAGUGACGGUACUGGGUAAAGAAGCACCGGCUAACUACGUG